GUUUCGGUGGUUGUUAUAUUGUGGUGGUAAUGUUUCUUGCCUUUCUCCUCCAUGCUGCUGAAUGAGAGACUUGUAAUAGUUGAUGUCCCUAGCUACAGGUGCUGGCAUAGAGGAAGUAGGUGUUGACAUAGUUGCUACUGGAGCUGGUAAAGGAGCUGACAUGGCCUCGGGUAUACGAGGCCUCAAACCGGAAACGGGUCCUAUUCUACUUGGAGCAGAGUGGAAGGGGCCGUUUGUA
rnacentral:misc_RNA from 1 species